rnacentral:rRNA from 1 species
UGGGGAAUAUUGCACAAUGGGCGAAAGCCUGAUGCAGCAACGCCGCGUGAGCGAUGAAGGCCUUUGGGUCGUAAAGCUCUGUCCUUGGGGAAGAAUAAAUGACGGUACCCUUGGAGGAAGCCCCGGCUAACUACGUGCCAGCAGCCGCGGUAAUACGUAGGGGGCGAGCGUUGUCCGGAAUGAUUGGGCGUAAAGGGCGCGUAGGCGGCCGAGCAAGUCAGUAGUGGAAGUCCAAUUUUCAAGGUUGGAAGUGCUAUUGAAACUGCAGGGCUUGAGUGCAGGAGAGGUUAUCGGAAUUCCCGGUGUAGCGGUGAAAUGCGUAGAGAUCGGGAGGAACACCAGUGGCGAAGGCGGGUAACUGGACUGCAACUGACGCUGAGGCGCGAAAGUGUGGGGAGCAAACAGG